rnacentral:rRNA from 1 species
ACUCCUACGGGAGGCAGCAGUGGGGAAUAUUGCACAAUGGGCGCAAGCCUGAUGCAGCCAUGCCGCGUGUAUGAAGAAGGCCUUCGGGUUGUAAAGUACUUUCAGCAGUGAGGAAGGUGGAUAUGUUAAUAGCAUAUUCUAUUUGUACGUUAGCUGCAGAAGAAGCACCGGCUAACUCCGUGCCAGCAGCCGCGGUAAUACGGAGGGUGCGAGCGUUAAUCGGAAUUACGUGGCGUAAAGCGCAUGCAGGUGGUUUGUUAAGUCAGAUGUGAAAGCCCGGGGCUCAACCUCGGAAUUGCAUUUGAAACUGGCAAACUAGAGUACUGUAGGAGGGGUAGAAUUUCAGGUGUAGCGGUGAAAUGCGUAGAGAUC